rnacentral:rRNA from 1 species
AUACGGAAGGUCCAGGCGUUAUCCGGAUUUAUUGGGCGUAAAGCGAGCGCAGGCGGUUUUUUAAGUCUGAUGUGAAAGCCUUCGGCUCAACCGAAGAAGUGCAUCGGAAACUGGGAAACUUGAGUGCAGAAGAGGACAGUGGAACUCCAUGUGUAACGGUGAAAUGCGUAGAUAUAUGGAAGAACACCAGUGGCGAAGGCGGCUGUCUGGUCUGUAACUGACGCUGAGGCUCGAAAGCAUGGGUAGC